GAGUAAAGCGAGUAACUUCGCGUUGAGGGAGGAGCCUGUGUCCUAUCAGCUUGUUGGUAGGGUAACGGCCUACCAAGGCAGUGACGGGUAGCUGGACUGAGAGGUUGGUCAGCCACAGGGGGACUGAGACACGGCCCCCACAUCUACGGAUGGCAGCAACUAGGAAUAUUCCACAAUGGACGAAAGUCUGAUGGAGCGACACCGCGUGAAGGAUGAAGGCCCUCGGGUCGUAAACUUCUUUUGUUCCGCAUUACGCGGAAAGAAUAAACACCUACUAACUACGUGCCAGCAGUCGCGGUAAUACGUAGGGUGUAAGCGUUAUCCGGAUUUAUUGGGCGUAAAGCGUUUCGUAGGCGGGUUUCCGCAUCUUGUUUCAAAUACUUUGGCUCAACCAAAGACAGGGGCAAGAGAUGGGAUACCUGGAGAUUAGUCGGGGAUGUUGGAAUUCAUGGUGGAGCAGUGAAAUGCGUUGAUAUCAUGAAGAACACCAAGGGUGAAGGCGAACAUCUAGGCUUAUUCUGACGCUGAGGAACGAAAGCUAGGGGAGCGAAAGGGAUAAACAUACUAGUCCCUCCCGAUGGUGACAUCGGGAUAAAAAUUGGCUAUAUCGGUGAAACUCCUCGUUGAUUUUGGGUUAUCUUCGGUGAUAAACUAAAAAUAAUGAGGACAAUACCGAGGGAAGUUUGCUCAAGUUUGGAUAAAACAUUAUUCAAACUAAACGAAAUUCAAAAACAAGUAUUAAUAGGAACAUUACUGGGAGAUGGUGGAUUGAGGUUUAGGGGUAAAAAUUGUAGAUUACAUAUUAAACAUUCAAUCAACCAAAUUUCUUUAGUAAAUUAUAAAAGAGAGGUGUUUAAAAAUAUAACUUCGAUGAAAGUUAAUGUAUUUAAACAAACAAUUGGUGGAACCGACUACAGUUUUGCCGAGUUUGUAACAUUAACCCAUCCGGAGUUUACAAAAUACUAUAAUCUCUUUUAUCCGUCUUCCAAGAAAGUUGUUCCGGAAAGUAUAAAUUAUCUAUUAGUUAAACCUCUUAGUUUAGCUGUUUGGGUAAUGGAUGAUGGUUCUGCAGAGUAUGCGGGAACCUCACUCCAAACCCACAGUUUUACAGAAGGUGAAGUAAAAAGACUAAUAAAGACAAUUUUUUUGAAUUUCGGAAUAGAAACAAAUAAAAGGUUGAACAAAGGGAAGUGGGUUAUUUAUUUUCCUAAGGCAAGCAUGCCAAAGCUGGAAAAAUUAAUUGGCAGUUAUUUGCUGGAAGAUUUUAAGUAUAAACUUGUUCCUUAUUCAACUCGUAAAAGCAUAACCCCGUAGAGACUGUACGCCAGGUCCCGAUGUAACAUCGGGAUAUGAUACAGUCCGAUCUGUAUGGUAACAUACAGAGUUUGGUAGAAAUAACCAAACCGUCCCGCCGAUUCGGUGGGGUAGUAACAAUAUGUAGAGACCCCUGUAGUCCUAGCCGUAAACGAUGCCUGCUAGCUGGUCCUCCCGAUUUAUCGGGGGGGGUGGCGUAAGCUAACGCGUUAAGCAGGCCGCCUGGGGAGUACGGCCGCAAGGUUGAAACUCAAAGGAAUUGACGGGGACUCGCACAACCANNNNNNNNNNNNNNNNNNNNNNNNNNNNNNNNNNNNNNNNNNNNNNCUGUCGUCAGCUCUAGGCGUGAGCUGUAGGCUUAAGUGCCUCAUAGAGCGCAACCCCUAUCUUGUGUUAAAUAAUCACAAGAGACUGCUCCCACUCUUUUGAACUUCACGGUUCAAAAGAAAUUCGAAGCACUAAGAUCGAAAUCUUUUGGGGUGAGGUUGAGAAGUGAGAAAUGAGUCGGGAAAUGAGAGUGAGAAGUGAGUAAGAAAAUAUACUCACCCUCACUUCCCAUCCUCGACACACAUCUCACAUCUCACCCGCACCCUAAUUUAGGGUUUCGGAUUUAGGAUUUCGGAUUUUUUUAAACUCGUAGAGUUUAAAAGUGUGGGGGAGGAAGGAGGGGAUGACGUCAAGUCAGCACGGUGCUUAUGUCCAGGGCUACACACAUCCUACAAUGGCGAAUAACAACGAGUUUAGCGAGACAGUAAUGUUAAGCAAAUCUCUGAAAUUUCGCCUCAGUUCAGAUUGAGGGCUGCAACUCGCC
rnacentral:rRNA from 1 species